rnacentral:tRNA from 1 species
AGCUCCAGAAAAGGGAUUCUGAGCUGGGCUUAUCCCUGUGCCGACUGCUGCCCUCUCAAGGCAGUAGCGCGGGUUCGAAUCCCGUCGGGGCUA